rnacentral:misc_RNA from 1 species
UCCGAGUUGACCCCGGCAGUCUCCCACGAGUCCCCGGCAUUACCCGCUGGCAACAUAGGAUAAGGGUUGCGCUCGUUGCGGGACUUAACCCAACAUCUCACGACACGAGCUGACGACAGCCAUGCAGCACCUGUGCACGAUCUCCGAAGAGGGGCUCUCGUUUCUGAGAGCUUGCUCGUGAAUGUCAAGCCUAGGUAAGGUUCUUCGCGUUGCGUCGAAUUAAACCACAUGCCCCACCGCUUGUGCGGGCCCCCGUCAAUUCCUUUGAGUUUCAACCUUGCGGUCGUACUCCCCAGGUGGAUUACUUAAUGCUUUCGCUCAGACACUGACAGUGUAUCGCCAAUGUCGAGUAAUCAUCGUUUAGGGCGUGGACUAC